rnacentral:rRNA from 1 species
AAACAACUCUCAGCAACGGAUAUCUUGGCUCUUGCAACGAUGAAGAACGCAGCGAAAUGCGAUACGUAGUGUGAAUUGCAGAAUUCCGCGAAUCAUCGAGUCUUUGAACGCAAGUUGCGCCCGAGGCUUGUCCGAGGGCAUUUCCGCUAGAGCGUCACCGCGCCCCCCCCCAAACCCACCGACCCGCUCUCCGCGAGCCGGGUCGAGUGAAAUUG